rnacentral:rRNA from 1 species
CGAAGCGACGUCAAAGCGUUCAUUAAAGUCGAGUUGGCUUAGGGAUACGUUCGUUGGGUAGGGGAGCGUUCUGUAAGCCUGUGAAGGUGUGUCGUGAGGCAUGCUGGAGGUAUCAGAAGUGCGAAUGCUGACAUAAGUAACGAUAAAGCGGGUGAAAAGCCCGCUCGCCGGAAGACCAAGGGUUCCUGUCCAACGUUAAUCGGGGCAGGGUGAGUCGACCCCUAAGGCGAGGCCGAAAGGCGUAGUCGAUGGGAAACGGGUUAAUAUUCCCGUACUUGGUGUUACUGCGAAGGGGGGACGGAGAAGGCUAUGUUGGCCGGGCGACGGUUGUCCCGGUUUAAGCGUGUAGGUGUGUGUUCCAGGUAAAUCCGGUUCACUUUAACACUGAGGCGUGACGACGAGGCACUACGGUGCUGAAGCAACAAAUGCCCUGCUUCCAGGAAAAGCCUCUAAGCAUCAGGUAACAUCAAAUCGUACCCCAAACCGACACAGGUGGUCAGGUAGAGAAUACCAAGGCGCUUGAGAGAACUCGGGUGAAGGAACUAGGCAAAAUGGUGCCGUAACUUCGGGAGAAGGCACGCUGACACGUAGGUGAAGUGAUUUACUCA